rnacentral:tRNA from 1 species
CCUGGUGGCUCAGUUGGUAAAGAAUCUGCCUGCAAUGCAGGAGACCUGGGUUCGAUCCCAGGGUCAGGA